rnacentral:rRNA from 1 species
AUUGAACGCUGGCGGCAGGCUUAACACAUGCAAGUCGAACGGUAACAUAAAGAAGCUUGCUUCUUUGAUGACGAGUGGCGGACGGGUGAGUAAUGCUUGGGAAUCUAGCUUAUGGAGGGGGAUAACUACGGGAAACUGUAGCUAAUACCGCGUAAUAUCGAAAGAUUAAAGUGUGGGACCUUCGGGCCACAUGCCAUAGGAUGAGCCCAAGUGGGAUUAGGUAGUUGGUGAGGUAAAGGCUCACCAAGCCGACGAUCUCUAGCUGGUCUGAGAGGAUGACCAGCCACACUGGGACUGAGACACGGCCCAGACUCCUACGGGAGGCAGCAGUGGGGAAUAUUGCGCAAUGGGGGCAACCCUGACGCAGCCAUGCCGCGUGAAUGAAGAAGGCCUUCGGGUUGUAAAGUUCUUUCGGUAGCGAGGAAGGCACUUAGUUUAAUAGACUAGGUGA